rnacentral:rRNA from 1 species
UCCUACGGGGCGCAGCAGUAGGGAAUCUUCCACAAUGGGCGCAAGCCUGAUGGAGCAACGCCGCGUGGGUGAAGAAGGUCUUCGGAUCGUAAAACCCUGUUGUUAGAGAAGAAAGUGCGUGAGAGUAACUGUUCACAUUUCGACGGUAUCUAACCAGAAAGCCACGGCUAACUACGUGCCAGCAGCCGCGGUAAUACGUAGGUGGCAAGCGUUAUCCGGAUUUAUUGGGCGUAAAGGGAACGCAGGCGGUCUUUUCAGUCUGACGUGCA